GACGAACGCUGGCGGCGGGCUUAACACAUGCAAGUCGAACGGAAAGGCCCUGCUUGUGUGUGGUGCUCGAGUGGCGAACGGGUGAGUAACACGGGAGUAACCUGGCCUGGACUUGGGGAUAACUUCAGGAAACUGGGGCUAAUACCGGAGAGGAGCUGCUGCUGCAUGGGGGGGGUCGGAAAGUUUAGGCGGUGGGGGCUGGACGCGCGGCUUAUCAGCUGGUGGGGGGGGGAGCGGCUUACCAAGGCUUCGGCGGGAAGCCCGCAUGAGAGGGUGAACGGGCACAUUGGGACUGAGAUACGGCCCAGACUCCUACGGGAGGCAGCAGUCGGGAAUAUUGCACAAUGGGCGGAAGUCUGAUGCAGCAACGCCGCGUGCGGGAUGCCGGCCUUCGGGUUGUAAACCGCAUUCGCCUGUGACGAAGCGUGAGUGACGGUAAUGGGUAAAGAAGCACCGGCUAACUACGUG
rnacentral:rRNA from 1 species